rnacentral:rRNA from 1 species
UACGUAGGGGGCCAGCGUUGCUCGGAAUUACUGGGCGUAAAGGGUUCGUAGGCGGUGUGGCAAGUCGGGAGUGAAAUCUCUGGGCUUAACCCAGAGGCUGCUUUCGAAACUGCCGUGCUAGAGUGUGAGAGAGGUGAGUGGAAUUGCAGGUGUAGCGGUGAAAUGCGUAGAUAUCUGGAGGAACACCCGUGGCGAAGGCGGCUGACUGGAUCACAACUGACGCUGAGGAACGAAAGCUAGGGGAGCAAACAGG